UUCUGCAUUAUAAUGAUUUGUGGAAGCUGAAAAAUCUUAGAAAUUAAAGUGGCUUUAAAGUUUAAACAUCUGCAUUCUGUGCUGGCAAGAGCCAAGAAUUCAUCUUCCAAAUUGGAAUUUCCCAUUUCUCCCGCCAAAGCUUGUGAGUUUGUGAUUCGAAAUUGUCAGUAUGGGAAGCUGAACUGAACAACACCUCCAUUCUAUUCCCUCAAAUUUUUCUACGUCGGCUUCAGUACCACAGGUUUUGUUCCUAAAUUCAACUUGAGAUGUUCUAUUUUCUCCGUCCAAUUUCACCAAUAAACCCUUAUACUAAGUUAGGGUUAUCAAGACUAAUUUUUUUCUUUUCAGUUUUACUGUUUUUUCCUAAUUUUUUGGAAUUUGGUUUCAGAUAGAGACGCUCUAUGUGAAGCUCUACAGCAAAUAUACGAAGAUCGAGGUUUUGGGGGUUUUUCCUUAACCGUUUCUGUUUAUUUUUAUUGCUGCUGAGUGAAAAAAGUUAGUAUCUUUUCCUGUUUACUAUUAUUGAUUUGCGAGACCUUAAAAUUUCAGUUGAUGAAUCUUUUGUCAUGGUCUAAAACAUUGCUUGUUCUAGUUCUACAGAUUGCAUGGCCAUGUUGAUAGGUGGUCUAUCCAUGCUUACAGGGGUCUUUCUAAUCUCAUCCUAUUGCAUGCGUAGAUGCUGGAGGCGUUUGAUUCAAUGGAUAUACCUAAUAAAACACAUUAUGCAAUUACUUGCUAACAUAAAAGUGAACUAGGAACAAAGUGUAAGGCAAUGUGAUUUACUAAAAUUCUUAUGAUUAGUUUGUAGAUUUCCAUGGUAUGUUUUUUCAGGUAUCCCUAGGUUUUCUUCUGACUGUGUGCUUCUUCCUUAUAGUGUGUGCUUUUCAUAUCUAUUAUUUUCCCAUACCUCCAUUCAUCUCACCACAGUUUUGUAAUUUUUUCCUAAUUCCAGUCAGGUUUACUUUAUGUACCUCAGCAUCUAUAUAUCGCGUUUAUCACUUAAUUGACAGUAUUAUGAUUGUUUGCAGAUAGUGGAAAGAAAAAUCAGACGC
rnacentral:lncRNA from 1 species